GUCGCGCAAUGGUAGCGCGUCUGACCUUUCAUCAGAAGGCUAUAGGUUCGAGUCCCAUCUUG
rnacentral:tRNA from 1 species